AGAUUGAACGCUGGCGGCAUGCCUAACACAUGCAAGUCAGCGGGCAGCGCGGGGGGCAACCCUGGCGGCGAGCGGCGGACGGGUGAGUAAGGCAUCGGAAUCUGCCCUGAUGUGGGGGAUAACGUAGGGAAACUUACGCUAAUACCGCAUACGACCGAGAGGUGAAGGCGGGGGACCGAAAGGCCUCGCGCUGGUGGAUGAGCCUACGUCCGAUUAGUUAGUUGGUGGGGUAAAGGCCUACCAAGGCUACGAUCGGUAGCUGGUCUGAGAGGACGACCAGCCACACGUGGGACUGAGACACGGCCCAGACUCCUACGGGAGGCAGC
rnacentral:rRNA from 1 species